AAGGACCGUGAGCCGGACGCUGAACUUGAUGGGAUCCCAUUCAGCUGGAGAAGGGUUUGGAGUGUGAUGGUUACGGCGCGAGGGGCACGGACAGCGACCUCGACGUGGAGCUAACCACGGGCUCUUGCCAGCUGUCACUCUAACCGAAAAACUGUGACUGCAAAACUGCAUGUAACAGUAACACUCAUGGGCAGAGUUUGGGGCACUGCCGCCCCCCCAGUCGCCUGAAGCGAAAUUGCAAUAAUUUUGCAAAACCAGCAUUACACUGGCGCUGGCGCUCUGCACCUUUGCAUAAGCAGUUUGUUGGUACGCUAUACGUAGACAAAAUAUUAAGUUACGUGCGUUAACACAUAAGUGUGGAAAGAUGAAAUGUUCAGAAAAAUCAGCCUGCUCCAUCUAUUAUACUUGAGUCAUUAUGAACACACUCCAAGAACUUGUGUGAGAAGUACGGGUGGAAGAGGACGGUGUGCAGAGACAGAGUUAUGGCUUCACCGCGGAUCUGUUCGGCAAAUAGGCGAACUGUAACGGGUCCAAGGUAGCCAGCAGGGGGAAGCAGAGACAAUGUUAUACAUCUUGAAGCAGGUAGGAACAACAGACAGGGUGAGGGAGUGGUUGAAAAUUUCGAUGAACACUCCAGCCAGCUCAGGGGAUGCCAUCUGCCAUCCGGUCCAGCAACCUUGCAAGGGUUAACUCGCAGGAAGGAUUCACGCACUUCAUCCAUAGGACAUUUGGAGGGUGUGGACGGCUUGGGGUGGGAUCAAGGCCCUUCAUUAACCUGCAGACAAUUUCUGACCAUAUGAAAAGGACUUUUGAUCGUGGCCCUGGUGGCUCAGACCACUCCCAGAUUCUGUGACCACAUCGAUACCUCCAAAACCUUUCCUGCCUGUUCCCCUUUCACAUUAGCCAGACUGGCGGUCCUUUGACUUCCUCCCUCUCUCCCUGUAUGGUAAAAACCACCAUAUCCCAAAGAAAAAGCCCAUCAGCCCUCCCAUCUCUGUGUGUGGGUCUGUUCUGUAUCCCAGCCGGAAAUGAUUAAACAAUGACUGUAACUGAAGCUUCCUGGCACUUCAUGAUAUUUCUUAGUCAGUCUCCCUGGUUUAUUGUUAAACUUCCUCUGUUAUUAAUUAGGUAUAAUAAGAUACAUUGUGUGCUUUUCCCCCCAAACUUCAAUGUCUCUGCUGGAUGAGAGCUUAUGAGGGAGGAUGAAACCCACAGCUCCACCUCCACAAACCCUGCCCCAAUCUCCACACGCCAUGAUGCCUGUCUCCGGAUCACCACCCCAACCUUUAUCUGGGUUGAGAAGUGCAGGUGGGGGUGGGAGGAUGUCAGCUCUCACCCCAACCUCAACCAGCGCCGGGAUCUCCCUCAGGUCGAGGCAUUCAGCAGGCCAGAGGUGACCGGUUGCAAGUUCAGUUCCUAAACUGGGAACUGAACCCAGGUCCCUGCUCGCCGGGCAGCCAUUGCAGUCCAGAGCAUUACCAAACCACUCGGCUUCCCAGACUGUCUGCCAUGAAUCCGUUAAAUGUAAAAUGAAUAUAAAAAUAGAAAUUUCAAACUAAAUUCCAUAGUAGGGAAAUUAGGUGGGCACACACAAAGUCCACAGAAGACAUGCUACAAGCCAGAGGUCUAUUGGUAUGCAGGCACAGCUUAGACAACUGGAACCCUAAAAGACGAUCUCAUUCCAGCUGCUUCUCGUUAAAGUCGGAGAAGUUUCUGGAAACAGUUUCCAAACUUAAAGAGCACCUCACGGUCACUGGAGGGAGCUCUCUGCUAAACGUGAGGCAGGUGGAAACGAUCGUAAGUGUGAAGUUUCACCCAGAAUCUGUCUGCCUAAAAACGUGUCCAGGUACCACGUCAGAUGGUGCUCAUUUGGAGCUGUGAGCUCCUGAUGUGGAGAUGCAGCUAUACUGGAGCUCAUACCCUCACACCUGGCGCUGCGGAACCUGAGCUCCAAGGUACGAUCUCAGAUUCCUCAAUUUUACAAACUAACU